rnacentral:rRNA from 1 species
CGGACGGGUGAGUAACGCGUGGGUAACCUGCCUUGUACUGGGGGACAACAGUUAGAAAUGACUGCUAAUACCGCAUAAGCGCACAGUAUCGCAUGAUACAGUGUGAAAAACUCCGGUGGUACAAGAUGGACCCGCGUCUGAUUAGCCAGUUGGUAAGGUAACGGCUUACCAAGGCGACGAUCAGUAGCCGACCUGAGAGGGUGACCGGCCACAUUGGGACUGAGACACGGCCCAAACUCCUACGGGAGGCAGCAUG